rnacentral:rRNA from 1 species
GAUGAACGCUGGCGGCGUGCCUAACACAUGCAAGUCGAGCGAACGGACGAGAAGCUUGCUUCUUUGACGUUAGCGGCGGAGGGGUGUGUAACAUGUGGAUAACCCACCUAUAAGACGGGGAAAACUUCAGGAAACCGGAGCUUAUAGCGGAUAAUAUUCUGAAGCGCAUGGUGCGAAAGUGAGAGACGGUCUUGCGGUCACUUAUAGAUGGAUCCGCGCUGCAUUAGGUAGUUGGUAAGGUAACGGCUUACGAAGGCAAGGAUGCAUAGCCGAACUGAGAGGGUGAUCGGCCACACUGGAACUGAGACACGGUCCAGACUCCUACGGGAGGCAGCAGUAGGGAAUCUUCCGCAAUGGGCGAAAGCCUGACGGAGCAACGCCGCGUGUGUGAUGAAGGUCUUCGGAUCGUAAAGCUCUGUUAUUGGGGAAGAACAGAUGUGUAAGUAACUGUGCACAUCUUGACGGUACCUGGUCAAGAAGCCACGGCUAACUACGUG